rnacentral:misc_RNA from 1 species
AAGUCGUAACAAGGUUUCCGUAGGUGAACCUGCGGAAGGAUCAUUAUUGAAUAAACCUGGCUUGGUUGUUGCUGGUCUUUUCGAGGACAUGUGCACGCCUUGUCAUCUUUAUAUCUCCACCUGUGCACCUUUUGUAGACCUGGAUCCAGCUUUUCCGAGGUCAACUCGGUCGUGAGGAAUUGCUUGUUACAAGGCUUUCCUUGAAUGUUUCCAGGCCUAUGUUUUUCAUAUACACCUUAAAAUGUAACAGAAUGUCAUUGUGAGACCUCGUGUCUUAUAAACUAUAUACAACUUUCAGCAACGGAUCUCUUGGCUCUC